rnacentral:rRNA from 1 species
GACGAACGCUGGCGGCGUGCUUAACACAUGCAAGUCGAACGAUGAAGCCUAGCUUGCUCGGUACUUUAGUGGCGAACGGGUGAGUAAUACGUGAGUGACCUACCUUUGACUCUGGGAUAAGUCUGGGAAACUGGGUCUAAUACCGGAUACGACCAAUCUCCGCAUGGGGUGUUGGUGGAAAGCGUUAUGGAGUGGUUUUAGAUGGGUUCACGGCCUAUCAGUUUGUUGGUGAGGUAAUGGCUUCCCAUGGCGACGUCGGCUAGCCGGCCUGAUGGGGUGACCGGCCACCAGGGGACGGAGACAGGGCCCAGACGCGUACGGGAGGCAGCAGGGGGGAAUAUGGCACAAUGGGGGCAAGCCUGUGGCGGAGACGCCGGGUGAGGGAUAACGGCCUUCGGGUGGUAAACCUCUGUGAGCAUCGAAGAAGCGAAAGUGACGGUAGGUGCAGAGAAAGCGCCGGCUAACUACGUG